AAGUCGUAACAAGGUUUCCGUAGGUGAACCUGCGGAAGGAUCAUUAAUGAAGUAUUAUAUAUAUACUAUAUACGUUUGUGAAUGAGAAAAAGGAGAGAGAGAAUGAUGGAUAUGUGUAUAUGUGAGUGUAAUGGUGUAAUGGUAACGAGAGAUAUGAUGGAUUAUCAAUCUGUGUUAUCUCUCAUGAUGCAUUACUAUUAAUUACGCACAUGCAUAUAUAUAUAUUUAUUAACUCUCUCCUUUUUUAUAUAUAUUACACACUUGCAUGAAUUUUAAUGACUUACAAUAUAUAUAACCAACCAAUAUAUAUAUAACUUUUAACAGUGGAUCUCUUGGCUCCU
rnacentral:misc_RNA from 1 species